rnacentral:lncRNA from 1 species
GAAAGAGAGCGGGAGAAGAUCAGUAUCACGAAGACUGUGAGUACAUUGGAUUGCUUACAUAUCAUUGCUCAUACUUGGAUAUGGAUAACUAAUACCUGUUGGAGUGAUUAACAGCUUGUUGAGCGGCCCCAUCGUUGGAGGACGAGACGAGUGGGUGAGCCGAAGUAGAGCGUGGGUGAAUGGAUGUUAUUUGGCUGUGGCCACACCGUAAAGUUUGGAGCACUUACCGUGCCAGCGACUGCAAACUCCUCCAGGACGAAAUCCGACCGGGCGCGGAGUACCGACCUUAAAAAUCACUGAAGUGUGUGUAGUGCAGUGGGUGAGUCUGUCUUUGACGUGUGUACACCAAAGUUUUGCAGUGCUGUGCCGUGUCCCUGUUGUCUGUACUCGCCCUCCAGGCCGAGAAAAGUUCCUGUUGGAGAGAACGUAGGCUGCCGUGGCGGUGCCCACCUAUCCCACCUACGCCCGCCUAUAACUCCGUUCCCCGGACCCAGCUUGAAGGUGAAGCGUGAAUGCAAAACAAGUUACUGAUACCUCAUGUUCGUUUCACAAUUGCAAUCAAUGCAGAGGCCCGAGAAAAGCUCAUUGGUGAAGACGGGGUCUUCAUCAAGGUAGCCUUAAACCUAAUUUUAUAUAUCCAAACAUAAAUGGCAUCUUGUUAGGAUCCAAAGCAAUUCUAUUCAUAUUUGAUUAUUCUGUGUUUGUCUGGCAAGCCAUAUUUUCUGUCUGUGAUAUCAAUUUUAAAAUGCACGUGAUGUUAACAAAGCAUCAUGACAGAAUCAACUGACUUUUUGGCUUGUAAUACUCUGUCUUUUUGCUGAAAGCUCUUAAUUGUAUUUCAUAGGCUUCAUUAUAUUUAGUUAGCUGGUGUUUGUGUAAACCGACAGACCUAUGUGCUGUAUUUCCUAAAUAUCUACAAACACAAAAACAUCCACUAGAAUAAAACUUCACCCACUGUCCUGUAGAUGAUUACUUGAGUAGUCUAAAUAAAUGCUUUCAGUGUAGUUAAUUUCUGAAAGUAUUUAGGCAAAAUAUUAACUGUAUUUUUGGUGUCCAAAGGUUA